UGAGAUCAGAAAGGAAGGAGAUCACAUCCUUUGUUGAUCGGGUUUUGAGAGUUUUUUAUCUUAAAAGUUUGUCUUUAUGUGUCAGUGGCAGGUCUUAGCUGCAGCAGCCAGGGUCUUUGCAGUUUGCAGCAUCUAGUUCCCUGACCAAGGAUCGAACCGCCGCCCCCUGCAUUGGGACUCUUGGCCACUGGACCCACCAGGGAAGUCCCUUGAGGGGUUUAAGCUUAUCAGAGCGAGUGCCCAGUGGUUAACAUUUUAAAAGGCCCCCUUGGCGGCUGCAUAGGGACGAGACCGUAGGGGUGAGCGGGGUGGGGGCGUGGUGAGGCGGGGGGUGCCGCGCAGGAGGUUGCUGGGGUCGGGGGUGAGCUCCUCGCUGGCGGCUGCUGUAACUCCGAGGGCAGUGGGGCGGCGUUGAAAUGGGCCGUGAGGAGUACCGGAGCGGCUCCACCACCAGGGGGCGCCGCCGGUCCUCGGCGGUCAGCCGGGCCCUCGCCGCACGGAAUCUCUCAGCCGCACCCCGCCGCCGCCUCCGGCUGCGCAGGGUCAGCCUCGGGGUGUGCAGUCGGAGGAGGGCCUGCCGGCCACCGUGGGCGACGGCGGCUCAGCAGGGCCUGUGCGCACUCGGGCCCCGCCAUUGCGUCCUGGCCUCGACGGCUCCGUCAUCCGAGGGUGCCCCCUCCCGCGAAGGUGCGCUCCUGGGCCAGAUGCCCAACGGGCCCUCACAGCUCCCUGGCUAUGGAACUAAUGGGAUCCACGUGUUUCCCUGCUCCCCCCUCCCCUGGACAGACACAUCGUGAAGGCAGGCCUCCGGGAGCUUUGUCCCCAGGUCUGGGUGCCCAGCACCGUGGCUGGCACAGAGCGGGCUCAGCACAAGCCACACUGUGCGGCUUGCAGAAUCUUAUUUCCCAGAUCAGGUCAGAGAUUGAACCUGGGACCCAGCAGUGAAAGCGCUGAGUCCUAACCGCUGGACUUCCAGUGAAUUCCUGAGCUACUGUUAUUUUAAAACAUAAACGCUUAAAAAAUACUAAAAAAAAAAAGAAAAAAAAUUAAGGAGUUAAAAAAAAAACGAAACAGUUAAUGUUAAUAAUAAACAAUUCCUCUGUUGAAAGCCCUACACUGCCUCUCCAUCGCCCAAGUGAGAGCCAAGUCCUCCCACGGCCGCUUACCGUCUGGGCCCUCUGUCUGCAGCCUCGCCGGCCGCCCUCCUGCUGUCUCCCGCGCUCCGGCAGGCCGGCUCUGCUGUUUCCUGCGCUCUGGCUGGGCCGGCCCCUGCUGUCUCCCGUGCCGUUUCCUGCGCAGGCGCAGCCCGCUCCUGCCUCAGGGUCUUCGCACUUGCUGUUCCCGAGGCAAUGCCGGGUUUGCUCCUAGGAAUUUACACCACUCGCUUCUUUACCUACUUGACCUCUUUCCUUUGCUGUCACCUUCUUAAUCACCCCAUAUAAAGAAAAACCAUCUCUCUCUUCCAGCCCACUCCCUCUCUGCGCCCCUCCCCUGCUUUUUUUCUUCAGAGCACUUCCGUCAUCUGACACAUCAUAUAUUUAGUUUGUUUAUGUGCUUGUGGCCUCUCAACUGGAGCGUGAGCUUCACGAGGGCAGGCACUGUGGCCUGUUUUGUUUGCUACUCUGUCCCCAGGGUCUAGAGCCUUACUAGUACCUUCCAAGCACCCUUACACAUUGCUUAAAUGAAUGAACGGAGCGAAUGCAAAGCCCCUCCAGGACUCAGAGAGGUAGGACGGGAAUGGAGAGGAGGUAGGACGGGAAUGGAGAGGAGGUAGGACGGGAAUGGGGAGAAGGUAGGACUGUGAAGGGGAAGGGGGCGCCCGAACGCAUUUCUGGAAGGGCCAAGGUCCUGGCACCGCCUGGAGCGUGGAGCUGGCGCAUCCGCCCUCCCCAGACCUCCCGCCCCAGCCUGCUGGCUGGGACCCUCCUGCUGGCAGUGCCCUGCCCUACCCGCCAGACCCCGAACACGCCACCCCCAGUCUGGGCGAGUGACCAGGCCUGAACAAAGUGUCCUUUCCCCUUUGAUAAGCUGCCUCCUUCCAGGGGCACUCAGGCCAGGAUACGUCCUGCUGCUCAGGAAGUGCCUGAGGGCCUGGGUGGGCCCCUGGAGUGGGCACUGGCUGCUGCAGCCGCCACCCUGCCCAGAGGCCAGCAGAGGAGCGAGGGCAGUAGCCGGGGGGACCCGUGCCCACAGCCAGCCCCAGCACGCACCUGCGCCUUGUUCCUUCAGCGGAAGCCUCUUGAGAGCCUUUCGGGUACACAGCUGUCUUUCCGUGGUUGACUGUGCCACCAGGAAGCUGUCCAUGGUUUCUGAUGAUGGUCACCCUCUUCUUGAGAGCCCUGAACCCCGAGACCCCAGGAUCUGACUCCCAGCCCACAGGCUUCAUUCUCGCUCAGCCCCUCCCCCUGAAGCCCUGUCCUCCCAGUGGUGCUGCCUUGACUUCCCCGUCAGCCCUGCAGAACCCAGGUCCUCAGGGAGGGGUGGAGCACAGUUUCUUCCAAGCAGGGGAGUAACCCUCCCCGCUCCAGCCGCAUGCACGCGUCCUCGCGGGCACACAUACUCACACUCAAACACCCCUGGGCACGUGCACCACCACCCACACACACCUCUCCAGGUUGCUCACCCAUCCUGGGGCUCAGGGCCCAAGGGCUCCUUGGCCUUCACAGUCACAGACGGGCCGGAUGGAGCUGAGGCAGGUGCAGAGGCCCAGGCCCUACACUUUCAGAGCCCCAGUCUUUGAAUCUGUAGGAUGGAUGCUGCCUCAAAGUCUCCUGGUGUCCCCCGGGCCUGUAACCUGUGAGAUCCCAGGUAGCACAGGGAGAGGGACCUGUUCUGAGAUGUCACCUGAGCUCAAUCUAAAACAUGGCCCCUUUGGCUCUCUUCCCAAGGAAAGGGGAACUGUGUCCUUCUCCCCUUGGUUCUGAAGGGCCGUGACUGCCUCCAUCAUCAGGUACCGUGGGAGUGAUGCUCUGUGACUGCUGAGGCUGAGUUAGAGAAGACCACCCAGGUUCCACCUCUUCCCUCUGGGAUAAAGCAGCCCCCCUGUAAGAAGUCAGAAGUCACGUGGACGGGGUCCCAUCCGCAGCUCAGGGGUGCUCCCCCUGCUGGCCGUGCCGGGAGCAGCCAUCGUGCACCACCAGCCCAGGAGCCUUGCAAUGACUCCAGCCCCAGCUGGCAUCUGAAGGCAAUCACACGGCAGACCCCCAGCAAGUCCCACCUUCGGGAAGCCAGGCUCUUCCCGAAUCCCUGACUCGCAGAACUUUGAGCAAAAUGAAAUGGCCGUUGUUUCACACGACCAGGUUUUGGAGAAUUUGUUAGGUAGCAGUAGUUAUUAGAACAUUGUCCCCAAAUAUUUCUCUUCUUCCCCUAGUCCUCUCCCCAGCUUGUCUCUCAGGCUGAACCUGCUUGGACUGGACUCAGAGCCCUCAGAGAUGGCGGCCUGGGGUCUGAGAAUGCAGGGGGAGCUGGGUCAGGCUGCCCACCCUCCCCUGCUGGGAGCGCUUCCUGUACCUGAUGGCAGUGACGUGCCAAGAUCUGAUUGUGAGCCUCUGGGCGGCACCUCCACUGGGUCCCUCCUGUUUGGCCAGGACAAGGGCUUCCCUUGUGGCUCAGAUGGUCAAGAAUCUGCCUGCAAUGCGGGAGACAUGGGUUUGAUCCCUGGGUUGGGAAGAUCCCCUGAAGGAGGGCAUGGCAACCCACUCCAGUAUUCUUGCCUGGAGAAUCCCCAUGGACUGAGGGGGAUUCAGAGCCCCUGUGGAAUCUGUGGGCUACAGUCCAUGGGGUCGCAAAGAGUCGGACACGACUGAGCGACUGAGCACAUUCACAUACACAGAGUGUUCUUGAUGCCUAUCUCUGUGCCCAGCUGGCUCUCAACCAGGCUCAGCCCUCAGCCUCUGGCACCCCUGUCUCCAAGGCUUGUCCUUCUGUCCCUGUCUGUUAACUGAACAAGGCAGGAGCCUUGGAUGGUCCGUCAGCAGAGCUCAGAGCUGCAGGAAAUGGGCCUGGCACGUGGUUGGGGUUUGAGGCCAGCGGAGGUGAGAAGGGCACAUCAGAGACUGACCCGGCUCCCCAAGCUCCCCAGCGGGGCUGGGCUCCACAGUGGGAGCUGGUCGACAUCACCGCCGUGCCUGCCUCUGUCCCUUCCCUGCCUCGCCUCUCCCGUCCUCUAUCGGGGUUCACUCUGGUCACCUCCAUGUAUGUGUGUGCCCUUGAAUCUUUGUGUCCUGGGGAACCCGAGCCAAGACUGAGAUGUCCAGGCGAGGCCUCACUGAACUUACAGAGUUAAGACGAUGAGGAGCCAAUAAGAGAGCAUAUGAAAUAAAAUCAGCAAUGACA